UACGUAGGUGACAAGCGUUGUCCGGAUUUACUGGGCGUAAAGAGCGCGCAGGCGGCUGGUCAAGUCCGAUGUGAAAUCUCCCGGCUCAACUGGGAAACUGCAUCGGAAACUGAUCGGCUUGAAGGUGGGAGAGGGUAGUGGAAUUCCCGGUGUAGUGGUGAAAUGCGUAGAUAUCGGGAGGAACACCAGUGGCGAAGGCGACUACCUGGCCCAUUCUUGACGCUGAGGCGCGAAAGCUAGGGGAGCGAACGGG
rnacentral:rRNA from 1 species